AGUCGAACGGUGAACACGGAGCUUGCUCUGUGGGAUCAGUGGCGAACGGGUGAGUAACACGUGAGCAACCUGCCCCUGACUCUGGGAUAAGCGCUGGAAACGGCGUCUAAUACUGGAUAUGUGACGUGACCGCAUGGUCUGCGUCUGGAAAGAUUUUUCGGUUGGGGAUGGGCUCGCGGCCUAUCAGCUUGUUGGUGAGGUAAUGGCUCACCAAGGCGUCGACGGGUAGCCGGCCUGAGAGGGUGACCGGCCACACUGGGACUGAGACACGGCCCAGACUCCUACGGGAGGCAGCAGUGGGGAAUAUUGCACAAUGGGCGCAAGCCUGAUGCAGCAACGCCGCGUGAGGGAUGACGGCCUUCGGGUUGUAAACCUCUUUUAGCAGGGAAGAAGCGAAAGUGACGGUACCUGCAGAAAAAGCGCCGGCUAACUACGUGCCAGCAGCCGCGGUAAUACGUAGGGCGCAAGCGUUAUCCGGAAUUAUUGGGCGUAAAGAGCUCGUAGGCGGUUUGUCGCGUCUGCUGUGAAAUCCGGAGGCUCAACCUCCGGCCUGCAGUGGGUACGGGCAGACUAGAGUGCGGUAGGGGAGAUUGGAAUUCCUGGUGUAGCGGUGGAAUGCGCAGAUAUCAGGAGGAACACCGAUGGCGAAGGCAGAUCUCUGGGCCGUAACUGACGCUGAGGAGCGAAAGGGUGGGGAGCAAACAGGCUUAGAUACCCUGGUAGUCCACCCCGUAAACGUUGGGAACUAGUUGUGGGGUCCAUUCCACGGAUUCCGUGACGCAGCUAACGCAUUAAGUUCCCCGCCUGGGGAGUACGGCCGCAAGGCUAAA
rnacentral:rRNA from 1 species